CAUUAUGAAAGACACCUUCUUGGUACUUCAGGUGUGGCCCUGAUCUGAUGUUGUGCUUCAGGGGACUGGGCCUAUUUGAUUAGGUCAAAUAGAAAUCAAAAGAUUGCUUCCACAUGUGGCCAAAAGUGUAAUAUCUUCCCCUAGGUAUGGUUGUUAGGCAUACCCACAACCAGUCACUUUGUUGGCCUGACCUUGGGCUUGAAGGAGCAGCAGACAAUGUAGGUUUAGGAACCUUCUUUAUUCACACAAGACUGCAAGAAACUCUGGGCAGCUUGAAUUUAGAAAACAGAAAGCUAAGCCACACCCAACCAAACAUAACCUAAUCUUAAAGAGACAGGACAUAUAUACUACAAAAGCAGCAACCGUCUGAAGGCCGUUCUCCAACCCUUGUACUUGAUAGGCGGGCCCGUUAUCUUUUUGGCUCCUGGUGGCAGUGGGGCAGCAGCUGCCACGUGUGGCUUCUGUGCCAAAAGGACUGCCGGAAGACUGUUUUUUUCAUGGACCUAGGCAGUCCUGGAAAUGGCUACUACAGUUGCCACUGUCCCUAAACAGACAGUGGGCUGGUUCUCACAAUCAAGCGCUGGCUAGGAGGAGUGUUCAGCCAGGCGCCAAGCUCUCUGCGUGUUCCUGAGAAAUGGUCAUGUGUUGGCAAAAACUGAGGAUACUUGUUAUUGAUUCCUUUUGGAAGGAAGCUAUGAUGUCCCCUUUACCUGCACAGCAGACUCAUUAUGGUUUCAUUACUAGGGAAACAAGAAGAUGGAACUGUCUCCUCGGCUUAAUUGAUUCUUGGCGUGAGUUAGCAUUGUUUUCUCAGUGACUACAGAGAAACUGUAGCUGCCUAACGGUCAGAUUUUGUUGGGAAGACACAGAUGUUCAGAACCUAGCAUUCAAAAAGCAAUAUCUCUUAUUAUCUUGGAGGAAAUAUCCUUAAAACUUCUUUUGUGAAUCAGUUGUAAUUAAGCAUGAUAAGACAUUUGGAUUUGCUUCCAUUCACUAAUGUUAUUUCUUAUGUAUAUUGUGAGGAAUAGGGAGAGGAGAGAAAUAGAGAGAGGAGACAGAGUGUUGACUGACCUGUUUUUUGUUAAAGCAUCUAACACGAUUAAGUCUUAAUAUAGUCUUUGUGCUUCUGCAUGGAUGACAUUGCUUUGCAAAUGUGAACUCUAUAUUUUAAAAAACAGGGCUCUAAUUAAUGCAUAUCAUUGAGAAAACAUGGAGUGUUCCUU